GGUGGGGUGGGUGGCGGGCAAGGGCGGCGCGCUGGGUGUGGGUAGGUGGCUUGCUGCUCCUGAAGGGGUACCCUCGGAAUUAUGGCUGGCUGGCCCGCUCAGGGAAAAGACAGUUUAGGAUUCUGGAAUUAGGAUGCGGCAGCCUCCUUCUCAUAUCUGGAGCCGCUUGGUCUCUUUUUAAGGCUGUAACCCUUUCUCUUGCUAGAGCCUUCAGAAGUCUGGACAACGGAAGGGUGCUGCGGGGAGGCCUGCUAGCUCCCCUCUCCUUUCCCUCUGAGCUGGUGCCUCCAGUGACAAGUUUUGGCUGUGGAGCCUGGUCUUUCUGCAAAGGAAAUUGGUUGGUUGUUUUCCAUGCUAGAGCAGCCUUUUGGAAGCAAGGCAAGGGGUGCACUGUCCUGGCCCCUGUCUCUGCUGCCCACGCCUGCCCACCUUCAGGUGUUUUCUGCUGCUGACUCUGAUCUUGAGCGGGCACUUCCUGGCCCAGCCAGCUACAAUGUUCUCACUUCCAUGAGAACAAGAAUGUCCGAUUUGGUCUUCAGACAAGGGAAGGAGCGCUGCCUUCUAACAAGCAUUGUGCUGGGCUCAUUGCAUCCAUGGUCACAUUCCAUGCCCACUCCCAUCGUAACACUCAUCCUAUCCCACUCCUUGUUACUUCAUGGUUGGUUGGUAAGUAGCCAAGCUGACCAAUUGCGGCAUUUUGGAACCAAAGCCCUCAGUGCUGAGCUACUUCACUUUGCGCUCCUCGGCUAGUGGCAGAGAAAAGAGAGAACUCUCAGAAUGGGGAUACAUGACUAAACUGGAAAGGUUGAACCCCGAUGUUUGAUCCUCAGGGAUACCCCUUCUUCCCCAUUAAUCUGAUGUCACCAAGAGGCUCUUUUUAAAUACCUCUUGCUAAUGAUUUAUUUGCUUGUAUUAAUUAUUAUUUUAAAUUAAAUUUAAAAUUGUUUACAUGUAUAGAUAUAUACAUGGGUACAUAUAUACAUACACACAGGUGUGUGUAUGUGCAUAGCUGAGUGCACAUAUUUGGAGGCCAGAGGAUAGAUUUCCAGAGCUAGUUCCUCCUCCUACCACAAGGUUCAUGCGGAUUGAACUCAGGUAGUCAGGCUUGUUGACAAGCCAUCUGGCUGGUCCUUAUAUUUUUAAAAGGCUAGUUUGAUUUGAACCUCCUGGUCUCUGAAUUCUGGUUGGGAAGUCUUGUGGGCUAGCCCUACCUCUCAGCCAUCUGCCUGCUCAUUCUCCUAUUUCUUCAUAGAAGUCAGCCCUGGCACUGUCACUGCAGGUUUCAAUACUGUAAUGGCACUGUUGGAAGCCAUCCCUGGGCCUGCAGAUACAAUUUCAGUCCCUUCAGUGCUUGAGGUGACAGGACAUUCUACAGGAGUGGGGGCCAUUCCUCUGGUAAGCCACUGAACUCCUGGGGUGCUUUUGGUAAAACUCCCCAGGGCUUGGGGACUGAGGAACCACCCCUCUUCAUAGACACCCAGCUUUACUGUCCAUAGUGGGAAAUUUCUCAGGAUCCAGAUGCCCUGGUCUCAGUUACUCAUCCCAUUGCCAUUCUUUCUCAUUCAUUCAGCCUCCUUCCUGUCUCAUUGUGCACGUGCUCUAUUCUGUCCCUGGACUGUAGUCUGUUUCUUUCGGCUUAGUGGUUUUGGAGUCAGACUCCGGAAUCUUUCCUAUCAGUUCAGUGGCUUUCGUUUGGGAUUUUCUCCUCCCAGAGCUUAGGCCUGGAACUGCUUGGUUCCUUUAUUCUGGGGCAGGAUUUGGGCUACAGAGAGGGCUGUUGGCUGCAGGGGUCAGAGCUGAGGCUGCCUGAGGCCCUGUAUACUACUCUGCAGGUCCAUCCGAGGCCUGUCUGUGCUACUUUGUGAAGGUUUCCAGGACCUGGCCUACUUUCUGGGUCCCCAGGCACUCUGCCUUCAGGAAGGGGAGGGGAGCAUGGCCUGUUGAGAGCUUGAAACUCAGUGUCUGCUUGAACAACAUCUCUAGUUGGAUGGAAUCAGUCUUGAAGAAGACAAUUCAGGAUCUGGGGCGGGAUCAUGGAGGGGAAGGGGAGGAGACUGAAAAACUCCUAUUUAUUGAUGGACAAGUCAGAAACCCAAAUCUGGAAGGACUUGAGUCAAGGUUUCCGGAGAACUGAGCCUUUGCUCAGGGAGAAGCAAGACCUGAACCUGGUCCUCGUAGGGAAGGUUGUCUGGCUGAGGACAGUAUCAUCUGGGAGUGGAGACACUCAAAACCCUGCAGAUUUCAUCAGCUGUCAAGGCAGCACUUAAUAUCCAGCUCUGAAUUUGGGCCAGUCAAGGCCACACACCUGCCUUUUCUAUACUUUCAUCUUCAGAGUAUAUCUUCCCACUUUUUUGUUUAAGUGAUGAUGGUGUUUUUAAUGUCCUUAUGUGGCAAAAUAAAAAUGAGGGAGAAGACAGUACUUUUCUGUUGAUUUUUAAACAUCCAAU
rnacentral:lncRNA from 1 species